rnacentral:lncRNA from 1 species
UAAAGAAUCGCCAUUACAGAUUAAAUCAGCACCACUGCCACCAGAACCCAAGGAAGAGACUAAAGAAUCGCCAUUACAGCCAGAAGCUACGCCUAAACAAUCACCAUUUCAGCCAGAAGCUACGCCUAAACAAUCACCAUUUCAGCCAGAAGCUACGCCUAAACAAUCACCAUUUCAGCCAGAAGCUACGCCUAAACAAUCACCAUUACAGCCAGAACACGAGGAGGAGACUGGACCAGCUAAGGAGGAGACUCAUCAAGUACCAUCACCCCCAAAGCCAAAGGAAGAGACCGAAUCAUCAGAGGUCUCUUAUCACAGGGAAGACAGUACACCAGCACAGC